AACGAACGCUGGCGGCAUGCCUAACACAUGCAAGUCGAACGAGACCUUCGGGUCUAGUGGCGCACGGGUGCGUAACGCGUGGGAACCUGCCCUUAGGUUCGGAAUAACUCCCCGAAAGGGGUGCUAAUACCGGAUAAUGUCUUCGGACCAAAGAUUUAUCGCCUUUGGAUGGGCCCGCGUUGGAUUAGCUAGUUGGUAGGGUAAAAGCCUACCAAGGCGACGAUCCAUAGCUGGUCUGAGAGGAUGAUCAGCCACACUGGGACUGAGACACGGCCCAGACUCCUACGGGAGGCAGCAGUGGGGAAUAUUGGAAAAGGGGCGAAAGCCUGAUCCAGCAAUGCCGCGUGAGUGAUGAAGGCCUUAGGGUUGUAAAGCUCUUUUAACCGGGAUGAUAAUGACAGUACCGGGAGAAUAAGCUCCGGCUAACUCCGUG
rnacentral:rRNA from 1 species